rnacentral:sRNA from 1 species
GCUGGGCACAGUGGUGCAUGCCUGUAAUCCGAGUAACUCAGGAGGCUAAGGCACGUGGAUUGCAAGUUCAAAGCCUGCCUUAG